GACAGAGGGUGCAAACGUUGCUCGGAAUUACUGGGCGUAAAGCGCGUGUAGGCGGUUCCGCCAGUCUGGGGUGAAAGCCCGGGGCUCAACCCCGGAAGCGCAUUGGAUACUACGGAGCUUGAGUCCUGAAGAGGAGAGCGGAAUUCCCGGUGUAGAGGUGAAAUUCGUAGAUAUCGGGAGGAACACCAGUGGCGAAGGCGGUUCUCUGGGCCUUACCUGACGCUGAGGAGCGAAAGCGUGGGGAGCGAACAGG
rnacentral:rRNA from 1 species